GGGCGUUAAGUUGCAGGGUAUAGACCCGAAACCCGGUGAUCUAGCCAUGGGCAGGUUGAAGGUUGGGUAACACUAACUGGAGGACCGAACCGACUAAUGUUGAAAAAUUAGCGGAUGACUUGUGGCUGGGGGUGAAAGGCCAAUCAAACCGGGAGAUAGCUGGUUCUCCCCGAAAGCUAUUUAGGUAGCGCCUCGUGAAUUCAUCUCCGGGGGUAGAGCACUGUUUCGGCAAGGGGGUCAUCCCGACUUACCAACCCGAUGCAAACUGCGAAUACCGGAGAAUGUUAUCACGGGAGACACACGGCGGGUGCUAACGUCCGUCGUGAAGAGGGAAACAACCCAGACCGCCAGCUAAGGUCCCAAAGUCAUGGUUAAGUGGGAAACGAUGUGGGAAGGCCCAGACAGCCAGGAUGUUGGCUUAGAAGCAGCCAUCAUUUAAAGAAAGCGUAAUAGCUCACUGGUCGAGUCGGCCUGCGCGGAAGAUGUAACGGGGCUAAACCAUGCACCGAAGCUGCGGCAGCGACACUAUGUGUUGUUGGGUAGGGGAGCGUUCUGUAAGCCUGUGAAGGUGUGCUGUGAGG
rnacentral:rRNA from 1 species